GGGACACGUGGUAUCCUGUCUGAAUAUGGGGGGACCAUCCUCCAAGGCUAAAUACUCCUGACUGACCGAUAGUGAACCAGUACCGUGAGGGAAAGGCGAAAAGAACCCCGGCGAGGGGAGUGAAAAAGAACCUGAAACCGUGUACGUACAAGCAGUGGGAGCACCUUCGGGUGUGACUGCGUACCUUUUGUAUAAUGGGUCAGCGACUUAUAUUCUGUAGCAAGGUUAACCGUAUAGGGGAGCCGCAGGGAAACCGAGUCUUAACUGGGCGUUAAGUUGCAGGGUAUAGACCCGAAACCCGGUGAUCUAGCCAUGGGCAGGUUGAAGGUUGGGUAACACUAACUGGAGGACCGAACCGACUAAUGUUGAAAAAUUAGCGGAUGACUUGUGGCUGGGGGUGAAAGGCCAAUCAAACCGGGAGAUAGCUGGUUCUCCCCGAAAGCUAUUUAGGUAGCGCCUCGUGAAUUCAUCUUCGGGGGUAGAGCACUGUUUCGGCUAGGGGGUCAUCCCGACUUACCAACCCGAUGCAAACUACGAAUACCGAAGAAUGUUAUCACGGGAGACACACGGCGGGUGCUAACGUCCGUCGUGAAGAGGGAAACAACCCAGACCGCCAGCUAAGGUCCCAAAGUCAUGGUUAAGUGGGAAACGAUGUGGGAAGGCACAGACAGCCAGGAUGUUGGCUUAGAAGCAGCCAUCAUUUAAAGAAAGCGUAAUAGCUCACUGGUCGAGUCGGCCUGCGCGGAAGAUGUAACGGGGCUAAACCAUGCACCGAAGCUGCGGCAGCGACACUAUGUGUUGUUGGGUAGGGGAGCGUUCUGUAAGCCUGCGAAGGUGACCUGUGAGGGUUGCUGGAGGUAUCAGAAGUGCGAAUGCUGACAUAAGUAACGAUAAAGCGGGUGAAAAGCCCGCUCGCCGGAAGACCAAGGGUUCCUGUCCAACGUUAAUCGGGGCAGGGUGAGUCGACCCCUAAGGCGAGGCCGAAAGGCGUAGUCGAUGGGAAACAGGUUAAUAUUCCUGUACUUGGUGUUACUGCGAAGGGGGGACGGAGAAGGCUAUGUUAGCCGGGCGACGGUUGUCCCGGUUUAAGCAUGUAGGCUGAUUGUCCAGGCAAAUCCGGAUAAUCAAGGCUGAGGUGUGAUGACGAGGCACUACGGUGCUGAAGUAACAAAUGCCCUGCUUCCAGGAAAAGCCUCUAAGCAUCAGGUAACAUCAAAUCGUACCCCAAACCGACACAGGUGGUCAGGUAGAGAAUACCAAGGCGCUUGAGAGAACUCGGGUGAAGGAACUAGGCAAAAUGGUGCCGUAACUUCGGGAGAAGGCACGCUGGUGUGUAGGUGAAGCCCCUGCGGGUGGAGCUGAGACCAGUCGAAGAUACCAGCUGGCUGCAACUGUUUAUUAAAAACACAGCACUGUGCAAACACGAAAGUGGACGUAUACGGUGUGACGCCUGCCCGGUGCCGGAAGGUUAAUUGAUGGGGUUAUCCGUAAGGAGAAGCUCUUGAUCGAAGCCCCGGUAAACGGCGGCCGUAACUAUAACGGUCCUAAGGUAGCGAAAUUCCUUGUCGGGUAAGUUCCGACCUGCACGAAUGGCGUAAUGAUGGCCAGGCUGUCUCCACCCGAGACUCAGUGAAAUUGAACUCGCUGUGAAGAUGCAGUGUACCCGCGGCAAGACGGAAAGACCCCGUGAACCUUUACUAUAGCUUGACACUGAACAUUGAGCCUUGAUGUGUAGGAUAGGUGGGAGGCUUUGAAGCGUGGACGCCAGUCUGCGUGGAGCCAACCUUGAAAUACCACCCUUUAAUGUUUGAUGUUCUAACGUUGGCCCCUUACCGGGGUUGCGGACAGUGUCUGGUGGGUAGUUUGACUGGGGCGGUCUCCUCCCAAAGCGUAACGGAGGAGCACGAAGGUUAGCUAAUCCUGGUCGGACAUCAGGAGGUUAGUGCAAUGGCAUAAGCUAGCUUGACUGCGAGCGUGACGGCGCGAGCAGGUGCGAAAGCAGGUCAUAGUGAUCCGGUGGUUCUGAAUGGAAGGGCCAUCGCUCAACGGAUAAAAGGUACUCCGGGGAUAACAGGCUGAUACCGCCCAAGAGUUCAUAUCGACGGCGGUGUUUGGCACCUCGAUGUCGGCUCAUCACAUCCUGGGGCUGAAGUAGGUCCCAAGGGUAUGGCUGUUCGCCAUUUAAAGUGGUACGCGAGCUGGGUUUAGAACGUCGUGAGACAGUUCGGUCCCUAUCUGCCGUGGGCGCUGGAGAAUUGAGGGGGGCUGCUCCUAGUACGAGAGGACCGGAGUGGACGCAUCACUGGUGUUCGGGUUGUCAUGCCAAUGGCACUGCCCGGUAGCUAAAUGCGGAAGAGAUAAGUGCUGAAAGCAUCUAAGCACGAAACUUGCCCCGAGAUGAGUUCUCCCUGAGACUU
rnacentral:rRNA from 1 species